GGUAAUUUGCUGGAUGGAGUGGAUUGGAAUUACUAAUACCAAUGUGAAUGCUAUAUUGGUAAUUGCUUUGUACAGAAUAAUAAGUCUAUUUAGGAGUGAUGUGAGCUACUUUGCCUUUCGUAAGAAUAUUUAAGAUUGGAAAAUGGAGGGAAUUUGGGUGCAUUUCCCCUUAUCAAUUUCCAUUUUUGUCAGUUGUUCUCUCUACACUGAUGAUCACAAGUUUUAUGUGGGUAUGAUCACAAGUUUUAUGUGGGUAUUGUCACAAGCAGUAUUUUAGAUUGGGAAAAUUAUUUUGAAGGGACACUUUCUGGCCUGUUUUGAUUUAUUAUCAAUUUAUUAUGAUUGGCAAAAGAUUUUGUCUAUUAUCACUUUUAGCUUUUAAUAUUUAUCACACAGGCUUUUGCUAUUGCCUUUAAGUGUUCUUAUAUGAAGGAGUAAUAUUAGAAUUUCAGUUCAUGUUAGAAACUAAGUAAAUGCCUAUUGACUAUCUGCCCUUUUUCAAAAAAGGUAAAUAUACUGUCUUUUUAACAUGAACUAGAAGUUAUUAAUCAACCCCCU
rnacentral:misc_RNA from 1 species